GUGCCAGCAGCCGCGGUAAUACGAAGGGGGCUAGCGUUGUUCGGAAUUACUGGGCGUGAAGCGCGCGUAGGCGGACAUUUAAGUCAGGGGUGAAAUCCCGGGGCUCAACCUCGGAACUGCCUCUGAUACUGGGUGUCUGGAGUUCGGGAGAGGUGAGUGGAAUUGCGAGUGUAGAGGUGAAAUUCGUAGAUAUUCGCAGGAACACCAGAAGCGAAGGCGGCUCACUGGCUCGACACUGACGCUGAGGUGCGAAAGCGUGGGGAGCAAACAGGAUUAGAAACCCUUGUAGUCC
rnacentral:rRNA from 1 species